GUCUUUUUGUUUUUUAUAUAAAGUUUAACCUGCCCAUUGAAAAAUUUUAAAAGGCUGCGGUAUUUUGACCGUACAAAGGUAGCAUAGUCAUUAGUUUUUUAAUUGAAAACUUGUAUGAAUGGUUGAAUGAAAAAUUAACUUUUUUUUAAAAAAUAUAGAAUUUUACUUUUUAAUUAAAAGGUUAAAAUUUAUUUAAAAGACGAGAAGACCCUAUAGAGUUUUAUAAUUUAAACUAUAUUUUUAAAAAAGUUUAUUUAAAAUUUUAUAAUUUAAAUUAUUUUGUUGGGGUGAUAGUAAAAUUUAAUUAACUUUUAUUAAUUUUUUAUACAUUAAUAUAUGAAUAAUUGAUCCAAUAUUAUUGAUUAAAAAAUUAAAUUACCUUAGGGAUAACAGCGUAAUUUUUUUUUAAGUUCUUAUUAAUAAAANAUUUUGCGACCUCGAUGUUGGAUUAAGAUUUAAUUUUAGGUGCAGCAGUU
rnacentral:rRNA from 1 species